rnacentral:rRNA from 1 species
GGCUCAGAACGAACGCUGGCGGCAGGCUUAACACAUGCAAGUCGAGCGCCCCGCAAGGGGAGCGGCAGACGGGUGAGUAACGCGUGGGAACAUACCCUUUGCUACGGAACAACUCCGGGAAACUGGAGCUAAUACCGUAUGUGCCCUUCGGGGGAAAGAUUUAUCGGCAAAGGAUUGGCCCGCGUUGGAUUAGCUAGUUGGUGGGGUAAAGGCCUACCAAGGCGACGAUCCAUAGCUGGUCUGAGAGGAUGAUCAGCCACAUUGGGACUGAGACACGGCCCAAACUCCUACGGGAGGCAGCAGUGGGGAAUAUUGGACAAUGGGCGCAAGCCUGAUCCAGCCAUGCCGCGUGUGUGAUGAAGGCCUUAGGGUUGUAAAGCACUUUCACCGAUGAAGAUAAU